rnacentral:rRNA from 1 species
GAUGAACGCUAGCGAUAGGCUUAACACAUGCAAGUCGAGGGGCAGCACGGUGUAGCAAUACACUGGUGGCGACCGGCGUACGGGUGCGUAACACGUAUGCAACCUACCCGCUAUUGGGGGAUAACCCGGCGAAAGUCGGACUAAUAUCCCAUAUUAUUCUUACCGGGCAUCCGGUGAGUCUGAAAGAUUUAUCGAUUGCGGAUGGGCAUGCGGAUGAUUAGCUAGUAGGUGGGGUAACGGCUCACCUAGGCGACGAUCAUUAGGGGUUCUGAGAGGAAGGUCCCCCACACUGGAACUGAGACACGGUCCAGACUCCUACGGGAGGCAGCAGUGAGGAAUAUUGGUCAAUGGGCGCUAGCCUGAACCAGCCAAGUCGCGUGAAGGAUGACAGAUCUAUGGUUUUGUAAACUUCUUUUGCAGGGGAGUAAAGUGCGACACGUGUGUUGUAUUGCAAGUACCCUGCGAAUAAGCAUCGGCUAACUCCGUGCCAGC